UGAGACGAUGGGGGAUAAGCUUCAUCGUCGAGAGGGAAACAACCCAGAUCAUCAGCUAAGGCCCCUAAAUGAUCGCUCAGUGAUGAAGGAAGUACGAGUGCAAAGACAACCAGGAGGUUUGCAUAGAAGCAUCCAACCUUGAAAGAGUGCGUAAUAGCUCACUGAUCGAGUGCUCUUGCAUCGAAGAUGAACGGGACUAAGCGAUCUGCUUAAGCUGUGGGAUGUAAAAAUACAUCAGUAGGGGAGCGUUCUGCCUCAGAGGGAAGCAUCGGCGCGAGCAGGUGUGGACGAAGCGGAAACGAGAAUGUCAGUUUGAGUAACGCAAACAUUGGUGAGAAUCCAAUGCCCUGAAAACCUAAGGGUUCCUCUACAAGGUUCGUCCAUGGAGGGUGAGUCAGGGCCUAAGAUCAAGCCGAAAGGCGUAGUCGAUGGACAACAGGUUAAUAUUCCUGUACUACCCCUUGUUGGUCCUGAGGGAUGGAGGAGGCUAGGUUAGCCGAAAGAUGGUUAUCGAUUCAAGGACGCAAGGUGACCCUACUUUUUUCAGGGUAAGAAGGGGUAGAGAAAAUGCCUCGAGCCAAUGUCCGAGUACCAAGCGCUACAG
rnacentral:ncRNA from 1 species